rnacentral:rRNA from 1 species
GUGGGGAAUCUUGCGCAAUGGGCGAAAGCCUGACGCAGCCAUGCCGCGUGAAUGAUGAAGGUCUUAGGAUUGUAAAAUUCUUUCACCGGGGACGAUAAUGACGGUACCCGGAGAAGAAGCUCCGGCUAACUUCGUGCCAGCAGCCGCGGUAAUACGAAGGGGGCUAGCGUUGCUCGGAAUUACUGGGCGUAAAGGGCGCGUAGGCGGACAGCGUAGUCAGAGGUGAAAGCCCAGGGCUCAACCAUGGAAUUGCCUUUGAUACUGGCUGUCUUGAGUUUGGGAGAGGUGAGUGGAACUCCGAGUGUAGAGGUGAAAUUCGUAGAUAUUCGGAAGAACACCAGUGGCGAAGGCGACUCACUGGCCCAAUACUGACGCUGAGGCGCGAAAGCGUGGGGAGCAAACAGGAUUAGAUACCCGAGUAGUCC